AGAGAACUGAUGAGGAGAAAUACCAUAGUCCAACAAAAGGCUAGGACAGAGAGGAGACUCAUGCUCAUGCAUCUCUAGAUUACACCUCUAUCAGAAACUCUGUGAUAUUUCCCAUUAAUGUGUAAAAUCUGUGGGACUUCGGAGCCUAAGGCCCUCACCAGACCAGUGAGCAGGGCCUGAAGUCCAGGCUGGAUGGCUGAGUCCUGCUCCCAGCUCCCCCUAGCCCUGCUCCCGCCUGCUCACUGCACCUGCUUUGCAAUCCUCUGCACUAGUUAAUCGUGCAGGCCGCACCUCGUAAACCUGCCUGGAGACCCAGGGUUUGGAAACAGAGUUGCUGGGGCAGAUUUACAGAGUGAUGUCUGUUUGACUGACAGCUGUUGUUGCUUUAUGGGAAGCCAGCACAUGUUCACACUAUAAGGUGGGAACAAUUGCUUCGGAAAGCCUCCACGUGCGUGAGAUGCUUCAGCUCUGCUCUCCAGCCAGGAGCUGUUUCUCCCUGGCUGUUACCAGCCAUCUCAAACGUGUGGACACAGAGGGCAGAAUGAAUACACCCAGAACCUGCUCUUCUUGCAGAGCUAUCACAUAAUGUUACCAUAACACUGCAGUAGGGGAGAGAAGAGCCUUAGUUGCGUAUUUACUUAUCACCCAGGGGGUUGUUUUGUGUUGAGGAGGCGUCUCUAUGAAAUCAGGAGGGGGAAAUCAGAAAUCAAAAAACAAGAUCAGUUUCCAAAUGCACAGCCAUGCCAUGAAACAGGUCUGGAAGAGGAAAUGGUCUUCCAGAUCUGCGUGGGGACAAAGAGAUGAGCAUAUGGGGACGACCAAAGGACUGUGGGCAGCCUGCUGUGCUGCUGGGCAUGUGCACACACACAGAUGUAUUUAGACUCUCUGCUUUCUGUGAAAAGGACUUGAACCAAGCUCUGCUAGGAUGAAGUAGAAGACACCAGCUGGCAUCACUGGGGUUUCCUCAACUCCAUCACAAAUGCAAAGAUUAAGUUCUAAAAAGCAGUUUUGGUACUGUGUGGAUGGGCUGUUUGCUGAGCCUAGCUGAUGAGGACACAGCUCUGCAGUCAGACUCCACAAGUGCGCCCUACCUGAGAGGCUAGCAGGCCACAACCAGGGUGUCUCUUUCAGGGAUGCUCAGCUGAUGGUGACUUCACUCUGUGUUUUGGUGUUUUCUCCUUUUUUCUACCAGAAGGUCAUGGCUGGGAAAAAUAGAAGAGCCAGCAGUGUAGGGAAUAGUCAUUCUGUUCGUGAAAGGCAAGUGUCUCAUACCAAUGAAGAGUGAGCUCGAGUCUUGGGAAGAUUUGGAUCAGAUGAAUCACCGUGUCAAAAAUAAGUUUAAUGUUUCCAUCUCCAACACUUCCCUCCUUGCACUGAACCAGAGAUGAUUAACAGGGCACUAUUUUCUGGGGCAGCUCUGCAGACCAGGAAGGUUAUGAUUCCUUGACUGUCUGCGAGAAAAAGGCAGUGGCAAAAAAUGAGCAUCAAAGUAAAAGAUCUGAGAGCCAUUCCCAGCAGCACAAACGUAGCCUCCCACUGUAAAAGCAGUGAAGUGUUCAGAUCUGCUGUGUUGGCUGCCAGUUUUCUUGGGUAGGAUCCCAAGUGUGAAUUCCUGCUCUAUGAAUUAAGCAUUAACAAGAAGUGAGUUUUCAUAGGAUUUAAGCCCAGAAGGGAAUCAUUAUGAUCCUCUAUUCUGAUUGCCAUGAUAGCACACUCCUUAAGUUGUUACCCAGCAACUUUGGCCUUAAGCCCAGUGAGAUUUUCUUGUUGCAAAAGGAUAUUUUUACAAAGAUAUAUCCAGUCUUGACUAAAAGUCUUCAAGACCACUAAAUGAUCUGCAAAGGCUGAUAAGCCUUUACUGAAGGUUUGCAUCUGAUUUCCUAGCUGAAGACCUGACGAUGUCUGCAUUUACUGAUGAGUACCAUAGUCUGAAAAGUCAGAUUUAAGAAAUGAUUUGGCACUGGGAACUAAUCAGUGUGUCCUGUGGAGGUAGAGUACACCCUUCUCAAUAGCUAAACCACCGGGAAGAACUAGACCACAGGCAGGACUUAUGCCAGCAGCUAGGCUGCACAGCAUCAGCUGUGAAAUGGACCAGUAGAGACAAACCAACAAGCAAAGAUCAGUGAGGCAUAUAUCAAGCACUGCCCGUUGGCUAGGGACAGCAUGGGAACCUGGAUCACAAAGUCAUCUUGCCUAAUUGGAGCUGCCUACAAAGCAGAUGUUGACACUGGAACUGAGUGAGACAGCUCCUGAGACCAAUGCUGGCAGCAAAUCAGAAGAGGGCAUUGAGAUGAAUUGUUUUCCAGUAGCCUUAUUUUUUUUUUUCACAUACAAAUGAGGGGAUGAAUGUCACUUGGAGUGACAUAGAGCCUUUCUAGUAGCCUGAAACUCAGCAUUCAGAGAAGUCUCUCAAGCACAGUUAGCCUUGCAUCAAAAUUUGAGUUGGUGGCAGCCUGAAGGAAUUUAUUCUCUGAGGAACUCUCUGGGGAGUUCUGCUGCUUCACAGUUCAGGGCAGCCAGCGAAUUAUGAUGAAAGCAGUAUAUGCAAACUCUGUCAGCUAGAACUGUUUCACCAGCCACUAACAUGAAUAAUAAUGCAUGGGAGAUGUUACACAGCACUUAAAGCCCCAAAGGCUCUUCAGUUCAUGCCACUCGUGGGCAAAGAUUAUGAGAUGCUACAUCUCAGUGCAGAAGAAUGUGCACUGGACAAAGCGCUGGAGGUGGCAUUGUUGCUCAAGCUCUUAUAACCAAAAGCAAACCCCCAUGAGGGGAAAAAGGAACUCCAGCUACAUGCAGAAAAUACAAUGAAGAAGCUGAAAGAGAUCAAAUUAGACAGAGCUUCAGGAUGUGGGGUCCUGGAUGGAUGUUACGAGGACAGCACGAAACUCUCCUUUCUUGUCUUUUAGAACUGUGUUCGAUUACAUGUUGUGCAAAUUCAUUCUGUGUUUGUUUGUUUUUCCCUCUAAAACAUAGGGUAGAUGCUGUCUUAUGAGACUGUAGUGGCCUUCAGCAAACAUCCCUGGGCUGUGCCUCAGGUCUAAAUCUCACAUUUUGUGACACUCUUGUGGUGGCAGGCAAGCAGCUGAAGAAAAAGCAACCAAAAGCAUUAAACAUCUUUGCGACCUAACAAAUACCCUAUGCUUUGGUCAGUGAGGUUCAAAUUCUGCAGAAGAAAAGGUGGUUUGAGAGAAAUGGGAUAUAGGAUCAAGGGACAUCAGAUGUCCAAAUUAGCUAUGAGAAAGAGAACACGGAAACUAAGGGAGGUCUGUCUAUUGAGCUCAGUGGCAGCUGUGGGAAAUGCAACAGAAUAGGAAAGAGAGUUUUGAAGGGUACUAAUAUAUGUUUGUCUUUGGGGGAAAAAAGAGUACUCCAGCUACAGGAGUACAGAGUUUAUGCUGUAUUCAUGGGAGUCUUCAGAGAAGGCAAAGCACGUGUGCUGGCCAUUUCCUCAAAGAAAAUAUUCUUUGUGAAAGCUAAUAAUUUUAGCAGGGAUUCUGGUCUUCCUCUUGAGGAGAGUUAAAUGAAGUUAUGGGUCAGUGAGAGGACACCUGUGCAAAACCAAAGCAGAAUUUCCAAUCUUUGAACGUAGCUCCUUCAUAUGGAGAAGACCUGGUCAAAAUGGC